AGAGUUUGAUCAUGGCUCAGAACGAACGCUGGCGGCGUGCCUAACACAUGCAAGUCGAACGCGCUGGGGUAACUCAGCGAGUGGCGCACGGGUGAGUAACACGUGGGUAAUCUACCUUAUGGUGUGGAAUAACAUUCCGAAAGGAGUGCUAAUACCGCAUAUGGUUCUCGGACGAUGGUCUGAUAACUAAAGGGGGCGUCCGUUAGGAGCUCUCGCCAUUUGAUGAGCCCGCGUCCCAUUAGCUAGUUGGUAAGGUAACGGCUUACCAAGGCGACGAUGGGUAGCUGGUCUGAGAGGACGACCAGCCACACUGGAACUGACACACGGUCCAGACUCCUACGGGAGGCAGCAGUGGGGAAUAUUGCGCAAUGGAGGAAACUCUGACGCAGCGACGCCGCGUGGGUGAUGAAGGCCUUCGGGUUGUAAAGCCCUGUCGGUUGGGAAAAAGGUUAUUGCAUUAACACUGCAGUAAUUUGAUUGUACCAGCAAAGGAAGCACCGGCUAACUCUGUGCCAGCAGCCGCGGUAAUACAGAGGGUGCAAGCGUUGUUCGGAAUUACUGGGCGUAAAGGGUGAGUAGGCGGCUUUGUAAGUCAGACGUGAAAGCCUGGGGCUUAACCCCAGAAUUGCAUUUGAAACUACAAGGCUUGAGUAGAGUAGAGGCAAGCGGAAUUCCAAGUGUAGAGGUGAAAUUCGUAGAUAUUUGGAGGAACACCAGUGGCGAAGGC
rnacentral:rRNA from 1 species